rnacentral:rRNA from 1 species
UGCAGUCGAACGGUAACAGAAAGUGCUUGCACUUCGCUGACGAGUGGCGGACGGGUGAGUAAUGCUUGGGAAUUUGCCUUGAGGUGGGGGACAACAGUUGGAAACGACUGCUAAUACCGCAUGAUACCUACGGGUCAAAGGGGGCUUCGGCUCUCGCCUUUAGAGAAGCCCAAGUGGGAUUAGAUAGUUGGUGAGGUAAUGGCUCACCAAGUCAACGAUCCCUAGCUGGUCUGAGAGGAUGAUCAGCCACACUGGAACUGAGACACGGUCCAGACUCCUACGGGAGGCAGCAGUGGGGAAUAUUGCACAAUGGGCGCAAGCCUGAUGCAGCCAUGCCGCGUGUGUGAAGAAGGCCUUCGGGUUGUAAAGCACUUUCAGCGAGGAGGAAGGGUUAGUAGUUAAUACCUGCUAGCUUUGACGUUACUCGCAGAAGAAGCACCGGCUAACUCCGUGCCAGCAGCCGCGGUAAUACGGAGGGUGCGAGCGUUAAUCGGAAUUACUGGGCGUAAAGCGUACGCAGGCGGUUAGUUAAGUCAGAUGUGAAAGCCCCGGGCUCAACCUGGGAACUGCAUUUGAAACUGACUAACUAGAGUGCGGGAGAGGGUGGUGGAAUUUCAGGUGUAGCGGUGAAAUGCGUAGAGAUCUGAAGGAAUACCGAUGGCGAAGGCAGCCACCUGGGCCGACACUGACGCUCAUGUACGAAAGCGUGGGUAGCAAACAGGAUUAGAUACCCUGGUAGUCCACGCCGUAAACGAUGUCUACUAGCAGCUCGGUUCGUUUAGAACGGUUUU